CCUGCUUCUCCUCAUACACCUCCCUUCCUGUGUCAGACCUACUGUGUAUACAAGGGGAGAAUUAAAUGAGAGGGAGGCUGUUGUUUUGCUCAAACCCCUGAGCGCCCUCAUCCCUGAGCGUAAUCUGAUACUUGGUGUGAAGUACAACAGGGACUUCCUUUUGAUAAUGGUGAUAGCUGGGUUUGCCUUAUUGGCCUUUUUGCUGAUUGACUCUUGAUAUUGACUUGAAUUUGGUAUCUUAGCUCACGUAGAAACGAUUUAAUGACUCAUAUCGGUGACACGUUGGAGGUCUGUAAAAUGUACUUUGAUUACAUUUAGACCUGUGAAAGAUCCACUGCUGGUAUUUGGGUUUGACUGUCCUCGGUACUGACAGGAAAGCAGACUUCAGGAACGGGGACCCUCAACCAGCCUCACCAAUCCUGACUUUUGAGACAGAGUCCUAGAUCUUGAACAAAAUCUAAGUGUGGAAUGAAGGUGCUUUCAUGACUUGCCCAUUGCCUGUAGGAUCCUAGGGGCAUUCUUGCACAUUGAGAGCAGAUUCUCCAAUGUGUAGGUAACCAAAUGUCCAAUUUGUUCCCGUUGUUUCCUCCUCGGAGACCUAGGUUCAAUGUCAGGUGGUAGGGACAUUAUGCAAUGUGUGAAAUGCUUCGGGAAUUUGUUGUGAUUAACUUAGCUCAUUUUUCUUUUUAGCAGUUUUGGAACUUACUAUGUUACCGACUACGAAGUCUCGUAGAACAGCCCAGCCAUUGUAAUGUGCAUUUCGUGGUCUAUUAAGUAGAACACAAAACCCGUUUGAAUGAUUUGUUACCCAUCGUCUUGCGUGGUAUGUCAGUGUCAGCAAUUGGUGACAAAGUGAGAACACCACCACCCAUUCCAAAGGUUUGUUACCCGCAAUUGUGUAUGAGUGGACGGUUUCAUUAGUGAAGAGCGACACGGGAGUUCUGAGACACCCCUUCUCGCCACUGAGUGGUGAUACCUCUUAACAUAAUAUUUAAGAAUUCCCCUGUGCUGGUUGAUGAAGGCGGGAUGCACCAUGGUUCGUGCUGAGGGGACAAUCAGCCAGCCUCUAAAGCCGCAGUCUCACCUUGUGGGUUGAUUCAUGCAGUUCCUGUCUUACAUUCUCUUUCACUCUUUUGGCCUACUUCACACAGGCUGCAUGAUUGGGUCCUCUGGCCCCACCAACCACUUUCAGAAAUUGCUCUGGAUGAGGGAAAGAGGACGUUUGCCCCAUCCACUCGUGUUGUGAGUUUCCAAGUGACCUAAUUUUCCUGCAGCGGUCCCAAGCUGACCUUCCUUUCACAGGUAAGUCCCUUUGUAGAUUUGUACAAUCAUCACCUCCCUCAGGAUCUGUGAUGGGAACGUCCAGUUCCGGUCAGCCGGUGGGCCCGUAAUGAGAGGAGAGGACCCUGAACCGAUAGUCAAGACCAGCCGUGCAGGUAAGAGCAACCUUAGGCUGUGUGAGGCCAGAGGUGUUGGGUGAAUAGCCCUUGUCUCCUGUCAGCUGUACCUUUCUUCCAGACGGUGUGGAAAUCCCAUCCCUGAGUCUCUAACAUGGGCGCAUGGGCGCUUCCCACAAGGUCGGGGUCACUCCCUAGACACUACUUGUUAACUCCGUGGUAGAGACUCCACGUCUUGAGUCAAUUUCCUCAAGGAGUCAGUGGCAUCUUUCUUCCAGACCUUCUUCGUGUUCCUCUGCUUACUGUUGCGUGCCACUGUUACACACGCGUUGGCUUUAUUAGAAUGCCAGAUGCCCAGAAAACCCUGAUCUUGAGCCUUUUUAUCCUUUUGGUAAUCGCUUUCUACUACCAUGCAGAAGCAGGAUGGACUGGAUGGGAUGGUCAGACACAAACUUCAGGAACUCCGAGAUUGUGGGAGCACUGCUCAGGUGCAUUUCUUCAGGUCUGAAUGUAACUUUUUAAAGUCAUGGAUCUGAAUCAAUUGAAAGCCAGGAGUACCUAGGAGAGGCGAGAAAGAGGAGACCUGUACACCAAGUGGGUGCCAGAGGGUGGGUGACAGUCUCCCGGCCCACCCCCGCUGGGGUGGGUGGGCGGGCAUUUAUGUGGCAGCCGUCCCAGAAGCACAGGCUAACAGUUCAAGCAACAUGCGGGUCAAUACUUCUUUGCAGGUUUCCCCUUCCGUACAUUCUAGCUAUUUUUUGGCUCUGCAGAUGUUGCCGAGACCGUGUCACCCAUCGUGUUUCGUUCACAAUAAGUUUCCAGUAUGUGAGUCUGAAAGACCCUCGGCCCUUUCUUCCUGUCAUCUCUGAGCCUCAGCUUCCACAUCUGCAAAAUGGAAAUGACACCUUGCUCUUGCUCUCAGGCGUGGUGUGAAAAUCAAGCGUGAUCGUCUUUAUGAAGGGCUCAGCACACAGGAGGGCCAGCAACUAUUCUCAGAGGGUCUUGGGCAUCUCUUUGGAAAUGGACCUCUUUAACUCUGCUGUGAUGCCAGGAGGUAGCCCAGCAUCCCAGACCCUGCCUUUCUCUGAGCUGCAUUCUUUCCUGGCUGCCUUGGACGUCUGACAUUGAAGCUGAUGUCACUCAGCGUCAAGUUGGGGCUGGAGGGUGCUCGGUAACUGGCAGUGCCCAAAGGUCUCCUGUCUUUCCUUCUCUGUAUAAAGUUACUUCUUUUCUGGGCAGGGGUUAAUUUGGUGCAAAUCAGGUGAAGACUUUGACGGUUGGGUGUGAGAGUGUUAAGCAUAAAGACGAAUGGCUCUAAGGUGCAUUCAAAGACCCUCGGGACCUCUAGAGUCAGACACACCUCUGGUUCCUCUAUUGCUUUGUUCGCACCAGUUUUAUCCAGAAGGUGGCAUCGCAGAGCCUGAGGUGCACUCCCCAAAGUCCAAAGGAUCCACAUUUCUUUGUGGUUAGACACUAACGUAUGUAGCCUUUACACAGCAUGUUGACAUUUCAAAGACUUUUCAUUUAUCCCUAUACUUGGUUCAGUUACUUUCAAGCCGUGGGAGAUGGGGGUCCUUACGACUUCCUACCCAGUGAAAACCUGAGACCUGAGGUACUUAGAAAACUCUGUGCCCCAACACAUGUUCCUUCCCCAGGCGGCAGGUACAAAGGUGAACAAGAAUGGCUUGUUUGCUUGUGGAAAGCAGUUGUACAACUUAAUAACUGUGAUGCCUCCUCCUUCUGGCACACACACUUGUGCCCGCCCACUGCCCAUCAAAGUCAUGUUGGGUCAUUUCAUUGGGGGGAGGGAUGGGGAAGACGUAGAUGAAUGUUUUAUGGGUAAGUCUUCUGAGUACUGGCACUUCACAAAAUAAGUCCCAAGGUGGACGCUUCCAAAAGGGUGACUGUUUAAUUGGUGGCGUCUCAAACUCAGGACCCUGAGGGAAAGACAAGGUGACCCUCCCAAUUCAAGGUGGGGUCUGGCUUGGUGGCUCUUUCCCAGGAGUCCACUCUGGAGCCUGCCACAUCAGUUGCGUUAUGAGGCCUGUACUCAAUGAAUGUGUACUUCCCAGCGGGGAUGUUAAUGAGUUAUGAAUUCUUGGUGUGAAGUAUUUCAUGUCAAACCCUGUUAGCCUGAAGUGGAUUUUCAUUCCUCUUGCGUAUGUCGGUGACAGAAAGGGAAUGGAUAUCGAACACCUGAAGGUAAGGCCUUUGCACUUGUGCUGCCGAAGGAGCGCGAGGUAAGGCCUUUGAAAUGGAGUGGAUUCGUUGUUACACUGGUUCCCUGUUAUAGGCGCACGUUUCCACGGAUGAGUGUUAUUUCAUUGGACACAUGUACCACAUUUUCUUUAUCCAUUUCUACUGUGGAUGGAUGCUCACAAGUCUCUCAUGUCUUACACGUUGAGAAUAAUGCUGUAGUGAGGAUA